rnacentral:rRNA from 1 species
ACUGCGAGUGAAGCGGGAAAAGCUCAAAUUUAAAAUCUGGCGGUCUUUGGCUGUCCGAGUUGUAAUCUAGAGAAGUGUUAUCCGCGUCGGACCGUGUAAAAGUCUCCUGGAAUGGAGCAUCACAGAGGGUGAGAAUCCCGUCUUUGACAUGGACUACCGGUGCUUUGUGAUGCACUCUCAAAGAGUCGAGUUGUUUGGGAAUGCAGCUCAAAAUGGGUGGUAAAUUCCAUCUAAAGCUAAAUAUUGGCGAGAGACCGAUAGCGAACAAGUACCGUGAGGGAAAGAUGAAAAGAACUUUGGAAAGAGAGUUAAACAGUACGUGAAAUUGCUGAAAGGGAAACGCUUGAAGUCAGUCGCGUUGACCAGAAAUCAACCUUGCUUUUGCUGGGCGUACUUUCUGGUUGAUGGGUCAGCAUCAAUUUUGACCGUUGGAGAAAGUUCAAGGGAAUGUGGCAUCUUCGGAUGUGUUAUAGCCCUUGUUCGUAUACAGCGGUUGGGAUUGAGGAACUCAGCACGCCGUAAGGCCUGGUUUCGACCAUGUUCGUGCUUAGGAUGCUGGCAUAAUGGCUUUAAUCGACCCGUCUUGAAACACGGACCAAGGAGUCUAACAUGCCUGCGAGUGUUUGGGUGGAAAACCCAAGCGCGCAAUGAAAGUGAAAGUUGAGAUCCCUGUCGUGGGGAGCAUCGACGCCCGGACCAGACCUUUUGUGACGGAUCCGCGGUAGAGCAUGUAUGUUGGGACCCGAAAGAUGGUGAACUAUGCCUGAAUAGGGUGAAGCCAGAGGAAACUCUGGUGGAG